rnacentral:rRNA from 1 species
UACGUAGGGGGCAAGCGUUGUCCGGAUUUAUUGGGCGUAAAGCGCGUGUAGGUGGCCAAGUAGGUCCGCUGUGAAAACUCGAGGCUCAACCUCGAGACGUCGGUUGAAACCGUAUGGCUAGAGUCCGGAAGAGGAGAGUGGAAUUCCCGGUGUAGCGGUGAAAUGCGCAGAUAUCGGGAAGAACACCCGUGGCGAAGGCGGCUCUCUGGGACGGUACUGACGCUGAGACGCGAAAGCGUGGGGAGCGAACAGG